GACGAACGCUGGCGGCGUGCCUAACACAUGCAAGUCGAACGGGGUCCAAGGGAGCUUGCUCCCUGAAGACCUAGUGGCGAACGGGUGAGUAACACGUGAGGAACCUGCCCCGGACUCCGGGAUAACCCGAGGAAACUCGAGCUAAUACCGGAUGCCCUCAUCAGGUCGCAUGGCCUGAUGAGGAAAGUUUUUCGGUCCGGGAGGGCCUCGCGGCCUAUCAGCUAGUUGGUGAGGUAACGGCGCACCAAGGCGACGACGGGUAGCUGGUUUGAGAGAACGAUCAGCCACACUGGGACUGAGACACGGCCCAGACUCCUACGGGAGGCAGCAGUGGGGAAUCUUGCGCAAUGGGCGAAAGCCUGACGCAGCAACGCCGCGUGCGGGAUGACGGCCUUCGGGUUGUAAACCGCUUUCAGCAGGGACGAAGAUGACGGUACCUGCAGAAGAAGCUCCGGCUAACUACGUGCCAGCAGCCGCGGUAAGAC
rnacentral:rRNA from 1 species